AUCAUUCUGCUGCGACUGUCUUUCCCUCCUUGCCAGCUUCUCCAUAUGACGUAUCUUAUACUGAGGAGAAGGUGGAACAGUCUUGAGAUUGGACAUUGUUACACAGUGAUUUAUGUUGCUACUCCUUAUACGUGCCAUGAGGCAAGCAUUUAUAUCUGAGGACGCUCCUGAGCCAGGUUUCCAUUGUAUCUGCACUUGCAAUACCAAGGCCAGGACACGCAUGCACUGAAGGGUCCACGACUGACUGGCUGACAAUACAGUAAGUUGCAGCCCUGCAUACACACAGGAAAGAAAAGUGCCUUGAUAGUUACUAAUACUUGGAAGUCAAAUUUUCUAAAUAAAUUGUA